ensembl:lncRNA novel transcript
ACACACACACACAUUUGCUCACACAAACCACACAAACUUUAAGCCUUGUGAAGCUGCCCAGGUGGUGUGUAGGAAAUUUUGGUAGAGAAAGAAAUAGUUUGAAAGUUGGUUUCUGACAAGAGGAAAGAAAAGGCUGCAACACUAAAGGAAGACUCAAAGUGUUAAAAGGACGCUCAAAAUGUAGUAUUGUGGCAGGUCGGGGUAAGUUAUAUUUUCUUCUGUUUUCUCUUUGGUUUUGGAACGCAGUGAAAAUGCACUGUGGGGAGUUUUUCUGUUGUUUUUAAGAAAUGAAAUAAUACUCCAAGCUCCCUCCUAGGAUGACUUCCUCCUGCGACUUUGCUCUGUUUUUGUGGGUGUUCUACAGAGAGGCGCUUUCUCCUAGAGCCCUGUCAUCAUAGACCCAGAGGCCCUCAAAUUCUGAGUGGCCAGGGUUUGGAGAGCCGCUUUCGGGUCGCAGAGGCAACAAGUCGUGGACUCUCUAGCCCCAGGCAAGCGCCGCACCGCGCCGCAGCUGAGCCUGUGGCUCGCCUGACUCAGGAAUGAAUUUUGCACGUGUAAACUACUUGCCUGUGGAUGCGCACAGCUGCGACUCUGGGGUUUAUCAAGGGAAAAAAACUAUUCCUUUAAAUGGACGAUUUGCAAAAACUCAGCCAUUGGUUCUUGCCAAAUGACUAUUGAUGCAGAGUAAACCCUACCGGUUGGUGCGUGCGCACGUUUGUUUAACCCUAAAAAUAUUCCACUUCCGAGUUGCUCAAGUUGACAUCCACUUGAAAUCAUUUGUAUUUUUUUUUAGGGGCUGGAAAAAUAACUGGCAUUAUCUGUGGGAGACGGUGUAGAUAUAUUGGUGGGGGAGGCAUAUUUCACUGGAAAGUGAUGCCCUGUAUUCGCUGAACGUAGGGAAGUGUCCCAAAGAAACGCGGCUCCCAGUGCGCGCGCAUACCACAUUUCCACAAACGUGUGUUACAAAUGCACUUUCCUGCCACUAACCUGCAGCUUUGAGAUUCGAUUCUGAGGUUUAAAUAAUAUUGUUUUUCUGCAUGGCAUGGAUAUUCAGACGCCAGCAAUGAGCAAUCCUUCAUUUGAGUACCUGCAAGCGUCUGCAGCAAGCUAGAUUUUAUUUAUUAUUAUUAGCUUUCUGCUACCAGAAACGUGGAAUAAACAUGUGCUGCCCCAGAAAUUGGGCGGAGCUGAUCCAGAUGUUGGCAAACACGUCUUUACCAGUUGUAUUUCUGAGGAAGCCCAGAGAAAUGGAUCAGAGAGCCGAAGAGAAAUUGACAAGGGAGCUGAUCAGAGGCGAUUUUGUUCAUUAGCAGGAGCGACUCCUGCUUUGGGUCUGGCGGGGGCGAGCAUAUAAAAUGCAACUUUUGCCCCAUUGGUUCGCUAGGUGAAUUAGCACAUACUGGGACUGAACAGUCCUUGACCUUUGCCUUUAUGUUUGCGCAAAUGUUUGCCUAAAACACAAUCGGUCUUGACAAGAGAGCAUGCUACCGUGUGACACUGCCUAUUCACCAGAUAGAUGUUCCCUGCCACACACGACCCAGAGCAGCCUUUUAAAUAGCUUAGGUAUUUGCACAAACUGUAUAAAUUAAUGUCGGAUGAUUGCUAGUUGCUGGUUAAAUAGGAGAGAGAUGAUUUAGAUGAGGAAUACAUGUAUCUCUCUGGCAUUUUUUUUCUUGCCAAAAAAGUCGGUAAGAUAACUGAUAGCGAAGGAAAGUUUAUGUUUGUGGGAGUCAAAAGGUUCUUGUUUGAUCAAAGGGCACAUGAAUGUAGUUUUCUUACAAAUGGCUUUUCCACAAAGAUGGGGAGUGGAUGAAGGAAGAGGAGAGAUGGAGAGUGGAGAAAGCUGUGAGAAACUAAUAAUUAGGAUAACUGGUAAUGGGGAGGUUUAGAAUAUGAUUCUGGAGGAUUUAUUGUUCCUAAAGGAGCCAUGGCCAGCCAGCAGCCUCUCAGUGCUCUGGAAACCCCAUGAAACUUGGGGGGAAGUUAUCCCGAUUACUGAGCUUUAUGGCUUUGAACUCUUCCUUCAGUAAAACCAAAUACUUUAGCAGGAGGAGAAAAGCACCUUUUAGAAUCUAAAAUUGGUUUAAGUCUUUUAAACCUCUCACUAUAGAUGUGAAAUUAUUUAGAUAACUGGGCUGCCUUUUCCCGAACUUUGACAUAGGAGCAAAAUGAACUUUCCUUAACUGUGGUUUCUAGCUGAGAUCAGAAUUUUCCACAUUCCUUUCAUUAUCUGCAACAUGGUAAAACCUCACCAAUUUCCAUGGCUCAAUUCUGUUGGCAGGACUACCAAGACAGGGAGAGCAAAUUAAGAAAAAUGAGGAUAUUUUCAAUAUUCUUUCAGGGAGGUUCAUUCCCUUGAAAGAGAGGAGUAUUUACUUCUUUCAGUCCAAGGGAUGCAGUAGACGAGGGUAGCACCAACUCAUGCCACAGUCUGGGAAUGCAGAUUUGAAUGUCUGAAAGCCACUGUGAUUUCUCCAAACAUUUGCAAGGUAUUUUUCAGAUUUCCAUGAACUGUAUUCAGGUGGAGAAGAGGGAGGGUUCACCAGUUCUCCCUUGGAAAUCCUUUCUCUUGAUCCCUGGGCAAAAUUUGCCUUCUCUCUGUUGGGCUAUGGAGACUUUCAGGGUAGGAGAAAGUUUGUUUAAAAGCCAUGUUCCACAUUGACUUUAGGUACAGCACAAAAGUAGCAGAAAGGUAAAAACAUCAAUCUUAGAAUGAAAAAAAUAAUACGUUUAUGAACAAGCACCUAGAAUAAAAUUAAGGGGACUCUCUCCAUUUUUCAAUAAUCUCCAUAAUAAUUUCUUAACUAACAGAAAUAAUUUGUUAAGUUAUUCUUAUUUCUUACUUACUUAACAAUGUAAUAAGUAUGAACUACUUCAAAACACUUUUUUAAGGUAGAUGCAAAACGUCUACCUUAAAUGUCUGUGCAUUUUGGCUUUAGGUUCAGCAAUAUGGGCAACUAAAUAUACAUAAAAAUCAUAUUUCAAUUCUCAG